AUUGAACGCUGGCGGCAGGCUUAACACAUGCAAGUCGAGCGGAGAUGAGGUGCUUGCACCUUAUCUUAGCGGCGGACGGGUGAGUAAUGCUUAGGAAUCUGCCUAUUAGUGGGGGACAACAUUCCGAAAGGAAUGCUAAUACCGCAUACGUCCUACGGGAGAAAGCAGGGGAUCUUCGGACCUUGCGCUAAUAGAUGAGCCUAAGUCGGAUUAGCUAGUUGGUGGGGUAAAGGCCUACCAAGGCGACGAUCUGUAGCGGGUCUGAGAGGAUGAUCCGCCACACUGGGACUGAGACACGGCCCAGACUCCUACGGGAGGCAGCAGUGGGGAAUAUUGGACAAUGGGGGAAACCCUGAUCCAGCCAUGCCGCGUGUGUGGAGAAGGCCUUAUGGUUGUAAAGCACUUUAAGCGAGGAGGAGGCUACUGAGACUAAUACUCUUGGAUAGUGGACGUUACUCGCAGAAUAAGCACCGGCUAACUCUGUGCCAGCAGCCGCCGUAA
rnacentral:rRNA from 1 species